UUAGGAAUUUUGCGCAAUGGACGAAAGUCUGACGCAGCGACACCGCGUGGAGGAUGAAGACCCUAGGGUUGUAAACUCCUUUUUAGCGGCCAUGAAGGCCACUAGAAUAAGCAGCUACUAACUACGUGCCAGCAGUCGCGGUAAUACGUAGGCUGCAAGCGUUACCCGGUUUUACUGGGCGUAAAGAGUCUGUAGACGGUUUUUUAAGUCUUAUUUCAAAGACCCCGACCUAAUCGGGGAAAGGGUAAGAUACUAAAAGACUAGAGUGAUAUCGGAGUUACUGGAAUUUUUAGUGUAGGGGUUAAAUCCGUGGAUACUAAAAGAACACCAAGCGCGAAGGCGGGUAACUAGGUAUAUACUGACGUUCAGAGACGAAAGCUAGGGUAGCAAAUCAGAUUAG
rnacentral:rRNA from 1 species